UACGUAGGGGGCAAGCGUUGUCCGGAAUCAUUGGGCGUAAAGCGCGUGUAGGCGGUUUCGUAAGUCUGCUGUGAAAGUCGGAGGCUCAACCUCCGAAAGCCGGUGGAUACUGUGAGACUUGAGUACGGAAGAGGAGAGUGGAAUUCCUGGUGUAGCGGUGAAAUGCGCAGAUAUCAGGAGGAACACCAACGGCGAAGGCAGCUCUCUGGGACGUUACUGACGCUGAGACGCGAAAGCGUGGGGAGCAAACAGG
rnacentral:rRNA from 1 species